CUUCUGAAUGUUGGAACACUGAGCUACUAGUUCUUUCACCAUGAGUGUGGACGCUGAGUAUCGAAGAUUCCAGAGGUUUCACAUUCUCUUCAUGUAACCUCUUCCACUGGGGUUACUUGCAUAGUAGCAUUCCAACAACACUCUGCUCUCAUCUCUUCCCCACUUAUACCUUCUUGUUCCAGUAGCCCACUUCUCAUCGGUGUGUCCUGGUUUCUCAACAGCUGAUGUACAUAUUUAUAUGACUGGGCAGCUCAAAUUUUUUUCUGGUAAAAUUACACUUUGGGGAAAAAAAUGUAAUUGGGGAUGGGGGUAAUUUUGCAACAUUACUUUAUUUCCAAGCUUCCAUAGAUUGGGAGUCAUUUUUUUUUUUUUUAGUAUUCAGCUACACAAACAUAAAGUUAUUUCCUCAAAUAUUUUUGUAUUCAUGAAGUCCAGCACAUUUCCACUUCCAUGUUUUAUGGUUGUUACCCUGCAGUCAUUCUGACAGUCUUGCUCAGGUCUAUGCUGAUUUGCAUAUAAGCACAUUGAUUUUGGUUUCAUUUGACCAAAAAUGUGGUUUGAAUACUCAUUCACAUGUUCUCUUCCUUUUUUUUUUUUUUUUUUUGGCAAAGUUUAAUCAUGUAUAUUUGCGAGCAGUCAUUUUCUUUUUGGAUGUCGUCCACAGCCGUUCAUGACUUCAUGAAUGUGUGCUUUGCAUUGUCUGAGCCAUUUCUAAAACAUCAGUUUCCAGUUGUGCCAAAAUAGAAGAGCUUAUCCAUGUGUCAUAGUGAAUUCAGCUUGGUGAUUAGAAUGGCCAUGUACAUUCUGUUACUGGGAUAUGGAUCUUCCUUUACCAGUGCUACCCAAUUUUGCUAUGUUUCUUCUUUAAUAGCCUAAUGAUACACUUACCCUCUCCCUCGGUUAUGAGGUCUUGGAGUCACGUUUCCAAUUUGUUACCUUGUGGAGAUUGCAUUUGACAUAAACCAAGACAACCUGCCUAAAAGCUUUGUUUUAUUGUGUCUUAUCAGUUGUUGAAUAUAUUCUUAAAUUAUAUUUCUCCAGGUUGAAUUGCAAACAUAUUUA
ensembl:lncRNA